UACGUAGGUGGCAAGCGUUGUCCGGAUUUAUUGGGUUUAAAGGGUGCGUAGGUGGUCUAUUAAGUCAGUGCUGAAAUAUCCCGGCUUAACCGGGAGGGUGGCAUUGAUACUGAUGGACUUGAGUAAAGUUGAGGUGGGCGGAAUUGACGGUGUAGCGGUGAAAUGCUUAGAUAUCGGAAGGAACAUCAGUGGCGAAAGCGGCUUCCUGGACCAGUACCGACGUUCAGGCACGAAAGCGUGGGGAGCAAACAGG
rnacentral:rRNA from 1 species